AUACGUAGGUGGCAAGCGUUAUCCGGAUUUACUGGGUGUAAAGGGCGCGUAGGCGGGGAUGCAAGUCAGAUGUGAAAUCUGUGGGCUCAACCCAUAAACUGCAUUUGAAACUGUAUCUCUUGAGUGCUGGAGAGGUAGCCGGAAUUCCUUGUGUAGCGGUGAAAUGCGUAGAUAUAAGGAAGAACACCAGUGGCGAAGGCGGUCUACUGGACAGUAACUGACGCUGAGGCGCGAAAGCGUGGGGAGCAAACAGGAUUAGAUACCCUGGUAGUCCACGCUGUAAACGAUGAAUACUAGGUGUGGGGGGACUGACCCUCUCCGUGCCGCAGUUAACACAAUAAGUAUUCCACCUGGGGAGUACGGCCGCAAGGUUGAAACUCAAAUGAAUUGACGGGG
rnacentral:rRNA from 1 species